rnacentral:rRNA from 1 species
GAGGAGCCUGCGGCGGAUUAGCUAGUUGGUAGGGUAACGGCUUACCAAGGCGACGAUCCGUAACCGGCCUGAGAGGGCGGUCGGUCACACUGACACUGACAUACGGGUCAGACUCCUACGGGAGGCAGCAGUCGGGAAUUUUGGGCAAUGGGCGAAAGCCUGACCCAGCAACGCCGCGUGAAGGAUGAAAUCCCUCGGGAUGUAAACUUCGCAAGAAUGGGAAGAAUGAGCGAGCGCUAAUACCGUUCGUGGUGACGGUACCAUUUGUAAGCUCCGGCUAACUCCGUGCCAGCAGCCGCGGUAAUACGGGGGGAGCAAGCGUUGUUCGGAUUUACUGGGCGUAAAGGGCGCGUAGGCGGCCAGCGCAAGUCAGUUGUGAAAUCUCCGGGCUUAACUCGGAAAGGUCAACUGAUACUGCGCGGCUAGAGCGCGGAAGGGGCAACUGGGAUUCUCGGUGUAGCGGUGAAAUGCGUAGAUAUCGAGAGG